GAGAAUUUUUCCAAAUGAGAAAAAACAAGUAUGAAAGAGAGGACUUGGUGAGUACCAAGUGGAAACCUGGCACAAUCCAACAUUCAUUUCAGGAGGAUGGUUCCAGCUGUGGUGUCUUUGUGAUGCUGAUGGCGAAACCGGUGGUGGAAGAGUUCCCAAAAAUUCCUGACAGCAUUAAUAGAAGGAGAUGAUCUGCCACUACAGGAAAAAUGUGGCCAAUGAAAUUUUGCUGGCAUCAGUGUGAAGAGAGGAGUACUGCUCUGUGUGUGGAGAAAAAGAAAGAGCCCAAACAGAGGAGCAAUGCAUCUAUUCACUACGCCAUUUCUGCCUGUUGACUGUUUUCACAACUACAUUUAAUAAUUCCAACACUUUCUUAAUACAUCUAACAACAUGUCCUAUUUCCCUUCCAGAUUCAAUGUGAAUUAUGCCAGAGGUAGUUUCAUGUUCAGUGCCUCAACAUUAAUCUGCUACCAGAAGAACAAGCAUGGAUUUGUGAUGUGUGUUUGUAAGCUAUUUAGUUAGAGGAGCUGAUACUGAAAGUGUUCAAAUUGUAAGAAAAUUGUUUUGCACUGAUAAGGGACAACGCAAACUACGGAAACAUAUUUUAUUACAUAAACAGUUUAUACAUAGAAAAUACUUAAAUUUUCGAUUCAUCAAAAUAUCCACCAUUAGCAGCUAUUACAGCUCAUUCAUAAAACAGGUUAAUUGUAUUCAAAACUUAAUUGGCAAUCAAUUGUUGAAGCUAUUAAGGUGUGCUGACCCAAAAAUCUUUUAAAAACCUGGGCCAAGUUUAAACCAGUAACCAGGCAUCACAGCUGGCAAAGGGGCAUGUCUGACUUUGACAUGUAUAUAUUGCCAUUAUUAUGUAAUCAAAAUGAAAAUUAUUAUUGCUGGUCUUCAAUGAUAAUGUCAAGUUACUUUAAUGUACAGUAUUUGCACCAAAAAAAAUGAUAAGGUUUUAUGCUGAUGUCAUCCAAAACCACACUUUGCCAGGGGUGUUUCCAAACUUUUGGAGGACAGUGUAUGUGUGUA